AUGUGCCAGAAACUGACUUCGAUCUCUUCGAAAUUCUGGUGGGGCGCAGCGAAUGGUGAAAGGAAGGUGCAUUGGAUAGCAUGGGAUAAAAUGUGUAUGGCCAAGCGGGAUGGGGGUCUUGGGUUUAGAGAUCCGGAGGCCUUCAACCAAGCCCUACUAGCUAAACAAGCAUGGAGGCUCCUACAGUCCCCGUCAUGUUUAUGUGCAAGGGUGCUCAAAACUAGAUACUUUCAAGAUGACAGCAUCAUGACAGCGACGUGUCCGGCCAGGGCUUCCUACACUUUUAGGAGUUUUUUGCAUGGGCGUGAUCUGCUGCGGGAAGGCUCUAUAUGGCGUAUAGGGGAUGGACGAAAUGUAAAUAUCCAUCAUGCCAAUUGGAUUCCCAUGGAAGGAAGCAUGCGACCAUUGGGUCAGGUGUAUAGGCAAGGAAUUACUCGUGUUGCUGAUUUGCUAACACCAUGCGGAAGAAAGUGUGAUAACAUGAAGCUACAGAGCAUGUUUACCCAUAGCGAUAUAAACGAUAUCAAGCAAAUGAAGGUAGGUGGACCAUGGAUGGAUGAUUACCAAGCUUGGAACUAUACGAAGUCAGGACAAUUCUCGGUGAGGUCCGCUUACCACAUGAGGAUGAGGCUCAGCAAGGUGGCAACCGGCCAAGCCCCUCAUCCUCUGUCAAGAACCAUCAAGGAUGGAUGGCUUUAUGGAAUACGAACGCGCCAAACAAAGCGAAGAUCCACAUGUGGCGUCUCAUGCGGAAUGGAUUGGCUGUUGGUGCGGAGCUAUACCGCAGAAAGGUAA
rnacentral:rRNA from 1 species